UACGGGGGGGGCAAGCGUUGUUCGGAAUUACUGGGCGUAAAGGGCUCGUAGGCGGCCAACUAAGUCAGACGUGAAAUCCCUCGGCUUAACCGGGGAACUGCGUCUGAUACUGGAUGGCUUGAGUUUGGGAGAGGGAUGCGGAAUUCCUGGUGUAGCGGUGAAAUGCGUAGAUAUCAGGAGGAACACCGGUGGCGAAGGCGGCUACCUGGACAGAAACUGACGCUGAGGCGCGAAAGCUAGGGGAGCAAACAGG
rnacentral:rRNA from 1 species